UUAAAAUUUGAAUCAUACUAGUAGGAUAUACGGCUAUUAAGGGGUGUGAUAGGGGAAGAUAGCUUUAGGUGGUUACUUUCUAAGCCUAUAUAUAGAGCUUUAGGUAUUCAUUCUUCACUCAUCAAUUAAGCUAUCACAUAUAAAAGAUUACUCUCUCUUUCUCAUCUCUUGUUACUACUCCCUAUUUCAUCUUUUAUGCCAUAAUAUUCAUUGCUUAUUACCUCCCGCCACCAUCAAUACCAUCAUCCUUUAUCAUUUUCUCUAUCAUUUUUUUUUUACAAUUUCUUUUUCUAUCAUUUCACCAUCAUCUCAACACUAAUCCCAACCAAUUAUUUCAUCUCCAUCAUUCUUGUCAUACUCACAUAUCACCACCACCAACCUCUUACUUAUUCAUAUAUAGAUACUCCACUAUUAUUUACUUAUAUAUAUCAACAUCAUCACCACCAUAAUUCUAUCAUUUCACAUUCAAGUUUUAGUGCCUAACUAGAUUUCGGGAGUUAAGGUUUGUCAUAAGAAAAUUAUUGUUUCUCAAGGAUCACUCUUAUUGCAAUCAAGGCUAGGACUCCACAUUCGAGACCAAAGUAACUAAAAGUCUAGAAUGCCGGUGGCGAGUGGAACUUUGGACGCUUGUGUGUGUGAACUCGCUGAGGGCCAUAUAACUGCGGGCGGUCUAGGGCGCUCUGUUUAUUUAUUUAUGUUAUUAAACUUAUGUCGCAAUUAUUUUAGUUAUUAAUUAUUAUGUUUUUUUUACGAAAAC